rnacentral:rRNA from 1 species
AAUAGAUACCCAGGUAGUCCACGCCGUAAACGAUGGAUACUAGCUGUUGGAGGUAUCGACCCCUUCAGUAGCGAAGCUAACGCGUUAAGUAUCCCGCCUGUGGAGUACGGUCGCAAGACUAAAACAUAAAGGAAUUGACGGGGACCCGCACAAGCGGUGGAUCAUGUUCUUUAAUUCGAUGCUAAACGAAGAACCUUACCAGGGCUUGACAUCCCGAGAAUUUCUCCGAAAGGAGAGAGUGCUUUUAGAACCCGGUGACAGAUGUUGCAUGGCCGUCGUCAGCUCGUGUCGUGAGAUGUUUGGUUAAGUCCAUCAACGAGCACAACCCUUGUGAAUAGUUGUAUUUUUCUAUUCAGACUGCCCCGGCAACGGGGAGGAAGGAGGGGAUGAUGUCAGGUCAGUAUUACUCUUACGUCCUGGGCUAGAAACGUGAUACAAUGGCAGGUACAAUGCGCAGCGAAAGCCGCGAGGUGAAAGCAAAAUCGCACCAAAAGCCUGUCCCAGUUCGGAUUGGAGGCUGAAAACUCGCCUCCAUG